rnacentral:lncRNA from 1 species
ACUCCCUCAUAUCUUCAGAGACUCCACAUGAACCCUAACCCGCCGCCACCCUUCUCCACCACUUCGAGCAUGGCGGCGCCAGCCCAAGCCGCCUCAAAAUCACACCACAGAACCAUCCAGACCCCCUCUUCCCAAAUCCCGGGUCAAUUUCACUCGAAUGUUGCCCGAGCUUCUAUCUUGAAUCAGAGCUUGACCCUAAAAAUUCAAAAUUUUCCAAUUCGGGGUUUCCUCAAAGUUUUAGGUUCAUUCUGAUGGUAUUAGUGUGUUUUGAUGAAAAACACACGGUUAGUCUCAGAUUGAGCCGAGAAUCUGAGGGUUCAAAGAUCCAUCACCACCUUUUACGAUCCAAGGCACGUUUAGGUAUUUCCAUUUUUCUUUUGUUAUUUGUUCUUCAAUUUUCCUCCAUUUGUUUUUCUUCUUCUACUUCAGUGUCUUCUUCUGGACUCCUUUCCAUUCUUUUUAGUUUCUGAAGGGUAGUUUUGUGAUGCAUGUUAGUUUUAAGAAAACCUUUUUCUUUAAUUAGUACAAUUAGUUUGUUAAUUAGAUUAGUUCUGAUUUGUUAGUUUUAGUUCAUCAAUUGGAUUUGGGAAUUAUUCGAAUUGCUUCUGUUCUAUUUUUUUUCGCCUUAGAUAAUUUGGUUUUGAUUUUGGCCUGGGGUUCGUACCUUUAGGUUUCAGGCUCGUUGAGUUAGAUUGGGCUUUGAAUUAACCACUCAAUCCCGGGUCAACUUUGACCCACUUUUGGUGGUGGUUUCUAAGGUAAUUAACAGGGAUGUAGAGGGUAGUUUAGGGAUUCUAUGGUAGUUAAUAUUGUUGUAACAGAUUGAGAAGCUUCUAGGAAGCUGGGUUGGGGGCUGUUUUGAAAUUUUGAUAGUCAAAUUAGGGGUAUUUUUAGCUAAAACGAAAAUUGGAAAAGGGGAAAAAUGCAAAGACUGAGGUCUGUUGCUGCCCUACUCCCUUGCCUAUAAAGGCACAUUUCCUUGCCAUUCAAGAAAAUAAGAAAAGAAAAAAAAACAAGAAAAAUACAAAAAAUACAAACGGCUGAAUUUUUUUACUGUUUCAUUGAGUUUCUUCAGUGAUCUUUGAAGUUUUCGAUUACCGAAUCAUUCCUGAUUCAUUCGGGAUUAAAUGGCAUGAAUCUGCGUUCUUAGAGCUUGGUUUUGAGGUUUUGUUGCUGGGAUUACUGUGCUACUAGACUUGGUUUUGAGUUCUGCUACUACUGUUACUGUUUUAUUGACCAAACCAAAUUGGAUCCUUGCCUCGUUUUCUGAUUAUUGGGCUGUUGCUGUUACUGCUUCUUCACCUCUUUUCCUUUCAUUUCCAGGUACAUAUUCUGAAUUCUUCAUGAUGUAAAUUUCAAUUUGAAGAUGGAAAUAAAGACAGUGUUGGAAUCAUGACAGUAGUUCUAUUUGUGCCACAACUGUACUUCUUUCACGAUGUUCAUGCUUUUAGUCAAUUGAUUCGUAAUGUAGUCUAGCUAGUUUCUAUUUGAAUAGCUGAGUUCUCAUGUGGUAUUUAAAUUGUGGACUGUUGUAAUAUUGUAUUAAGGGCUUUAAGUAAGUUAAAAAUGCAGCAAGGUUGCUUCAGUCUUGGUCAAAAAUGAGUAAUCAUUGCUUUGGGUGUUAGUUUCAUGUUUGAAUUGGGAUUAAAGAUGCUAAGGGUAACCAUGAUAUUGUUUGAUGUAUUGUCAAAAGGUAUGUGAG